CCGGCGCCGUCUUCGUGCUGCACUGAAAGCCUGAACAAAAAGACAGUCCCGAGACAACAGCAUGGCGCGCUUUUAUCGAGAGGCAAACGCUUUCCCGCGUUUCUCUUCGCUCCCCUCGGCCUAGUCGGAGACUGCUCGUCUUAUUCGGCCAAUCCUCCAUUAUCACCAAGGAUCUUCGUUAUCGUUUUCUCUGUAUAUCCGAGGCGCUAAGUGGAAGCAAUCCCCUCGAGAUCCGUCUGUUUCAACUACAGGACUUCGGUUCGUGUUCAACGAAGCAACGGAUGCUUUUGGGGUUCCGGGGCUCGUGGGACUUGAAGCACGGAGGAGAUGAACUAUCGUGAGGAGAACUUGGACGAGAUAGAAGAGAAGGAAACGGACGUUGCUGGAAGGGAGGUCCUGAAGGAUAACAAAUUCUUUCAGGUAUUUGAAGCCAUGGAGGAAAUGAACCAUCUCAAAAGGUGUUUGGACGAGAAAGAGGAGCCGGAGCCAAAAAUGGCUAAAAAGGAGGGCUUCGGCUUGGGGAGUAGGCUGAAGGAUUCUGAUAUGCGAAGUUACCAGUUGGAGGCGUACGAAGCCGCAUUACAGAGGAAUACUAUUGGUUGGCUGGAGACCGGGUCUGGUAAGACGAUGAUAGCUAUCAUGCUCAUGAAGGAAAUAGCUCGGCAGCUUAGAGAUGGAGGCGACAAACGUCUCAUAAUUUUCCUGGCGCCGACUGUACAUCUUGUUAACCAGCAAUACUCGGUGAUUAAAACCCACACGGAUUUGCACGUCGCCGAGUAUUAUGGUGCCAAAGGCAUAGAUGAUUGGGAUCUUCGUUGCUGGCAGAAGGAAACAUGCGAGAAGGAGGUAAUGGUCAUGACUCCACAGAUCUUGUUGGAUGCCUUGAGAAAUGCUUUUAUCACAGUUGACAUGGUGAGAUUGUUAAUAUUUGAUGAGUGCCACCGAGCUACUGGAAACCAUCCGUAUGCAAAAAUAAUGUUGGAAUAUUAUCACAAGACAGAUCACAAGCCAAAAGUAUUUGGAAUGACUGCCUCCCCUGUCAUUAGGAAAGGUGUCUCAUCAGCAGAGGAUUGUGAAUAUCAAAUUACUCAGUUGGAAGAAAUUCUGGAUUCUAAGGUUUUUAUUUUGGAAGAUCGAACUGAGCUAGAAGUGCAUGUCCCUAUGGCUAAAGAAAUUAAAAGGUAUUAUGGUUCAUGGUUUGUCAAUGAGGACCUCAAAGGAGAGCUGGAUUGUUUGUGGACAAAGUUCGACACAACUGCAGCAGUAAUGGAGAGUCCAACACAAAUGCAGUUUAUGGAGAAAUCUUUAAGAGCUAAACUCACUAGUUUUCACUGGAAAAUUUUGUACUGCCUGGAACAUCUUGGGAUAUUAUGUGCUUACGAGGCUGUUAUGGUGUGUAUGCAAAGGGAUGGAGUUGCACCGAACAUCGAAGAAAAUGCUUGUCCACACAUUCUUUUGCGAAAUUAUUUGAAGGAGGCAUUACACAUUUUUAAAGGGUAUUUAUCAGCUGAAGCCUGUGAUCUACUGGAAACUGAAGCCACUUUGGACCCUGUAUAUAUGAAUUUCAUUUCUCCUAAGUUAUGUGAACUUGUGAACACAAUCAAUGCACUUAGGAAUCAAAAGCAGGUCCUCUGCAUGAUAUUUGUUGAGAGAAUUAUUACGGCAAAAGUGAUAUGUUGGUUGAUAAAAAAGCUCAAGUUCUUGUCCCAUCUAUCUUGUGACUACUUGACUGGAAAUAACUCUGCUGUUAAUGGACUGACAGUUAAGAGACAGAGAAUGAUUAUGGAUUCUUUUCGUGAAGGAAAAGUGAACCUGUUGCUAACUACUGAUGUGGCUGAAGAAGGCAUUGAUGUGCAUAAUUGCUCCUGUGUGAUACGGUUUGACCUGCCAAAAACUAUUCGAAGCUACAUACAGUCACGUGGUCGGGCACGAUAUGCUGAUUCUUUAUAUGUCCUCAUGCUUGAAAGGGGAAAUGAAGAGCACAAAGAUUUGCUAUAUGAAAUUUUUAGAAGCGAAAGGACAAUGCAGGAUGCAACCUCAAGUAGAGACAAAGCGCCUAUCUCCAAAAUAUGCUCCAAAGAUGAUGAACCUGUUUAUACAGUUUCUUCCACAGGUGCAACAGUAACUGCUGAUUCAAGUGUCAGUCUCAUUUUUAGUUAUUGCCAAAAGCUUCCUGGAGACAAGUACUUCCAUCCGAAGCCCAAGUUUCAUUAUGAUUUAUCUGGUGGUUUUUCUGAAUGUACAUUGACCUUGCCUCCCAAUGCUGCAUUUCGACAUCUGAAGGGUCCUCCUGCCAAGAGUAACCAUCAUGCGAAGAAACUUGUGUGCCUAGAUGCAUGCAAGAAGUUGCAUGAAAUGAAAGCAUUAGAUGAUCAUUUGCUUCCUCUCAGUGAACAGUUGCCAGAUCAUACAUUGGCAAAGGAAGUAAAUUCAGCACCUGGGGCAGGCACUACAAGGAGGAAGGAACUACAUGGGUCAGCCACUGCAGAUGCUUUAUCUGGAACUUGGGCAAAUGUGCUUAGUUCCAUUACUUUACAGGCUUAUAGCUUAUUCUUCUCUUGUAACACCAUUGAGGAGAACUAUCCAGGAUUCAUUUUCUUAAUCAAAGAGGAAUUAGAUGAGGACGUUGCACAUGCAGAGAUAGAUCUGUUUUUACAUAAUAACAAAGUGGUCAAGGCACGUGCUUCUCCAUGCGGGCAGGUCAACUUGGACACGGAUCAGUUGAUGAGGUCAAAAGUUUUUCAUGAACUGUUCUUUAAUGGUCUCUUUGGGAAGUUGUUUCAUAUAUCAAAAUCUUCUGGAGUUCGGCAAAAGAUACUGGCAAUGGAUGACACAGCAUUAUGGCCUUUUACAAAUAUGUACAUGCUCUUACCCAUGUCUCAGCAAUCUGCACAAUCCCAAGGCAGCCCAAGUAUUGAUUGGACAAUUAUUGAUAGUUGUUUCGCAGUAGCUGAAUUUCUGAAGGCUAACAAUUUACCAAUGGCUAUGAACAAUUUCCACGUGGAAGCCAUGCAAAGACAGGAUGACAAAAAACCAGAAAAAAUACAUUUGGCUAAUACUUCUUGUGGUUUUCAUGACCUUAAGGAUAUGGUUGUUUUAGCCAACCAUACUGGACGAUUUUAUUAUGUCGCUGAUUUGGUGAAUGAUGCAACAGCUGAUAGUCCAUUUGAUGGAUCCUGUGAGUCAGCGAGACCAAGUUAUAGUUCCUAUACAGAUUAUUUCAAGAAAAAGUAUGGGAUUAACCUUCAUUACAAUACCCAGCCUCUGUUGCGGCUAAAACAAUCCCAUAAUCCACAUAAUCUUCUUUUUUCAAAGGAAGGCCACGAAGGUGGUUCUCUCAAUAGUAAUGGAAAAUCAGAUCCGAUCCAGCCAGCUAAACAGCAGCAGGGCUAUGUUUAUAUGCCUCCAGAACUUUUAAUUAGACUCGAUGUGUUAAGGGACAUAUUAAGGUCAUUUUACUUAUUGCCUUCAUUAGUCCACAGAAUGGAGUCAAUGAUAUUGGCAUCUCAGCUUCGAAGGGCAGUUGGUUUUCAUCCCAAUGGUCAUCAUAUUCCUACAGAUUUGAUUUUAGAGGCUGUAACAACUAGAAGGUGUGCUGAAGCAUUCUGCCUGGAGCGCUUGGAAUUGCUCGGGGAUUCUGUCUUAAAAUAUGUUGUGAGCUGCAACCUUUUUCUGAAAUAUCCAGAAAAACAUGAAGGGCAAUUAUCUGCUCUUAGAUCAUUGGUUGUAUGUAAUGCAACUCUUCAUAGACUGGCCACUGGUCGCAAUUUGCAGAAUUAUAUCCGAGAUGCUCCAUUUGAUCCUCUUCGUUGGCUUGCCCCUGGUCAACGUAUCUCACGCCCUGUUCCUUGUAAAUGUGGUGUCAAUUCUCGUGAAGUUCCACUUACACAUCCUGCUGAUGUUGAGAGUGGUGCCAUUAAAAUUGGUGUUACUUGUGAACUUGGGCAUAGGUGGUUGUGCUCAAAAACAAUAUCUGACUGUCUGGAGGCACUGAUAGGAGCAUAUUAUAUUAGCGGUGGUCUGGAAGCUGCAUGCUUGUUCAUGAGAUGGGUUGGUAUUGAUUGUGAACAUGAUCAAGCUUUGGUUGAUGAAGCCAUUAGGAAGACAUCAAGACUUACUUAUGCCAUAGAAGAUAAAGAUAUUGAUUCCUUGGAGUCGAAGCUUGGUUACAAAUUUUUGAAUAGAGGUCUUUUAUUGGAAGCCAUCACUCAUGCAUCUCAGCAGGAAGCAGGCUUGGGCUGUUGCUAUCAGCGACUUGAGUUUCUCGGUGAUUCUGUGUUGGAUCUUUUGAUCACAUGGCAUCUCUUUGAAAGUCAUAAAGACAUUGAUCAAGGGGAAUUGACUGAUUUACGCUCAGCAUCGGUGAACAAUGAAAAAUUUGCUCAAGCUUCAGUCAAGCAUAAUCUUCAGCAUCAUUUACUGCAUGGUUCUGAGUUGCUCCUGAUGCAGAUAAAAGACUAUGUGAAAUUUAUGAAGAGCUUCCCAGAGAAUGAGCCCCUUCCUGCCUACAGUAAAUCGAAAGGACCAAAAGUGCUGGGAGAUUUGGUUGAAAGCAUUGCUGGUGCAAUCUUAAUUGACAGCAAACUUAAUCUUGGGGAAGUCUGGAGGGUUUUCAAACCUAUUCUUUCCCCUUUUCCAACACCGGAGGACCUGCAAUUGCAUCCUCUACGGGAGUUAGGAGAAAUAUGUGGUGAGGCAGGAUCUCCUCUGUGCACGGAAUGUAGGAAGGAGGGAGACCAGACCAUUGCAAAGCUUACUGUACAACUGAAGGAUGGUCAAUUGACUGCAGAGGGGUGCGAUAAAACUAAAAACACUGCAUUGGAACAGGCUGCUCUCCUUUUGUUAGACGCAAUGGAGAAAAAAGGCAUUUCACAUAAAAGAAGCAUUUGGAGAGGGAAAUCAGAAAGGGUUCAAAAUAUUUUACCAUGUUCACAUGAACAGACAACAGGUCUAUCUCCUGUUGAAAGGCAUCACGGUGAACACAGCUCUACCAGAUCACUGGAUCCAACUGUCUCAAAAGUGUCUAUAGAUAUGAAGAAGGGGGGACCAAGAACUAGCCUUUUCCAGCUCUGCAGAGAUAUGAAUUGGGUCAGGCCCACCUUUGAGCCUAGAGCUUCUGGACCGAGGUUCAUUUCAAAGGCCAUCUUGCAUGUGCCUGAUUCUGAUAAUAUUGAAGUGGAGGGGGAAGAGAAAGCGGAUAAGAAGAGCUCAAUGGAUUCUGCUGCACUUAUUCUAUUAUACAAACUAGAAGAACUGGCUAAAUGCAUCAUCGAAGAAUGUUGAAGUUCUGUAUCAUCUGAUCAUUAAAUUCCUGUAGUUUAGAUCUUUUCGUCUGAUUACUUAUAUGAAUAGGCAUUAAGUAAAGGUGUCCAUAGAUAUGAAGAAGGGGGGACCAAGAACUAGCCUUUUCCAGCUCUGCAGAGAUAUGAAUUGGGUCAGGCCCACCUUUGAGCCUAGAGCUUCUGGACCGAGGUGUGGCUGGGAGCAAAGGAUGUUAAAUCCAUGAAAUUAAUGCGGCAUCGCCUUGCUGAUAUGAUAAACACCUCCCCACAAUACUCAUCGCAAGACGAUU